UACAGAGGGUGCAAGCGUUAAUCGGAAUUACUGGGCGUAAAGCGUGCGCAGGCGGUUAUGUAAGACAGAUGUGAAAUCCCCGGGCUCAACCUGGGAACUGCGUUUGUGACUGUAUGACUAGAGUACGGUAGAGAGGGGUGGAAUUCCUGGUGUAGCAGUGAAAUGCGUAGAUAUCAGGAGGAACAUCGAUGGCGAAGGCAGCCCCCUUGGACCUUGUACU
rnacentral:rRNA from 1 species